UAUAUGAUAUACAUUGCCAUGUAAACUUCCACCGAAAAUUGGUUUGAACGAGAUCUAGUAAGUAGUUUUUUUUUAAUACGUCAUGAAAUUAAUUUUUUUUUUUUCAACAUACCCAUACAUGUGGGGUAUCUAUGGAUAGGUCUUCAAAAAUGAUAUUGAGGUUUCUAAUAUAAUUUUUUUCUAAAGUGAAUAGUUUGCGCGAGAGACACUACCAAAGUGGUAAAAUGUGUGUCCAAAGUGGUAAAAUGUUGAACGAGAUCUAGUAGUUUAAGUAGUUUUUUUUAAUACGUCAUAAAGGAACCCUUCAUGGGCGAGUCCGACUCGCACUUGGCCGCUUUUUUUUCUCUAUUUUUGAAGGACAAAAAAAAAUUUUUUUUGAGACUUUGGAGCCUUGUAUUUUUUCAUAAUCUCAGUAUAUUUUUUUAAAUUCCACUUUUUUAUAAUAGAUGGCUCAUUUUCUAUCCGUUUAACAAUAUUUUGUUACAAUAUUCAACAUGUGUCAAGUACCCAAUUGCAUCCAGUGUGCUAACCGCAAAAUACCUUCGUUGUGUUAACAUCAAUGCGGUUUGAACUCUAUACUAUUCAAAAUAAAGUCCUAAAUUUCUGGACUCUUAAAAUGCGAAGAUCGGUAUCUUUUGGACUCUUAUAUUACAGGAUUUGAGUGCUAACAGCGGCUUGAAAACAGAUUGAAAAUUACCAAUUAUUAGGUGUGUGUGCUCCGGUUUAUGUGUUCAUUGCGGAUGAACCGAAUAACUAGGUAGAUCAUUUUGGACGAGACAUUCACUGUGAAUCUAUAUCAUGGUGACUGUACCUACAUGAACUUUAGUAGAUAUUGAGGCGCUAAAACCUAUAGAUCGUGUCAUUCACGAAGACGCGUGCCUUGACUCGUAUUACCAUGUUUUUAAAGGUUAGAUUUGACUUACCUGCGCGUCAUCGUGAAUGAGACAAACUAAAACAAUGUAACGGUGUUUAACGAUAACGAUAGAUGUCACUAGUAGGGCUAUAUUUUGCCUUAAGAAAUGUUACUUGCUUAUGUUGGCGUAAAAACUAAACAAUUAAGACGGAAUUAUUCUGCUUUUUAGGGUUCCGUAGCCAAAUGGCAAAAAACGGAACCCUUAUAGAUUCGUCAUGUCCGUCUGUCUGUCCGAUUCUGUCACAGCCACUUUUUUCCGAAACUAUAAGAGCUGUACUGUUCAAACUUAGUAAGUGGAUGUAUUCUAUGAACCGCAUUAAGAUUUUCACACAAAAAUAGAAAAAAAAAACAAUAAAUUUUGGGGGUUCCCCAUACUUAGAACUGAAACUCAAAAAAUC